rnacentral:misc_RNA from 1 species
UCCGCAGCAGCAGCAGGCAGCUCCU